UACGACUACAUAUCAGGCAUAUCAAUAAGCGGAGGAAAAGAAACUAACAUAGGAUUCCCUUAGUAACGGCGAGUGAAGCGGGAAGAGCUCAAAUUUGAAAUCUUCAAGGUUCUACCUUGACGAAUUGUAGUUUAAAGAAGUGUUUUCUGUUGGAAUUUUGGUAAAAGUUCUUUGGAAAUAGGACAUCAUAAGAGGGUGAGAAUCCCGUAUUUGACCAUUUCUUCCAGCUGUGUGAUACACUUUCAAAGAGUCGGAUUGUUUGGGAAUGCAGUCCAAAAUGGGUGGUAAAUUUCAUCUAAAGCUAAAUAUUGGCGAGAGACCGAUAGCGAACAAGUACCGUGAGGGAAAGAUGAAAAGAACUUUGAAAAGAGAGUUAAACAGUACGUGAAAUUGUCAAAAGGGAAGCGUUUGACACCAGUGUUGUUUUCUCGAAAAUCAAUUAAAAAUGACCGGAUUUUGUGUUAUAUUGACUUUAUCAGCUUUCUGCACUUUUUUCUUGUCUUUUUUAAUGCACUUUUCGUUUAACAAGUCAACAUCAAUUUCUUUUGUUGUAAAAGGGUCAUUGGAAGGUGGCUUUCACUUCGGUGAAAGUGUUUAUAGCCUUUGACUUCUGCAAUCGGAGAGAUUGAGGUCUGCAGCGUAGAUCCUUCGGGGUUAGAUACAUUUGUGCUAAGUUAUAGUUUUUCAUAGACGACAUGUUGACUAUGAUUAAUCAUGUAGCUUACUCGCUUAUGCUAUUUUACCUACGCUUAGGAUGUUGACGCGCGUGUGUGCGUG
rnacentral:rRNA from 1 species